GAAAUGCGAUACGUAGUGUGAAUUGCAGAAUUCAGUGAAUCAUCGAAUCUUUGAACGCAUAUUGCGCCCUUUGGUAUUCCAAAGGGCAUGCCUGUUCGAGCGUCAUUUGUACCCUCAAGCUUUGCUUGGUGUUGGGCGUUUUUUGUCUUUGGCUCGCCCAAAGACUCGCCUUAAAACGAUUGGCAGCCGGCCUACUGGUUUCGCAGCGCAGCACAUUUUUGCGCUUGCAAUCAGCAAAAGAGGACGGCAAUCCAUCAAGACUCCUUCUCACGUUUGACCUCGGAUCAGGUAGGGAUACCCGCUGAACUUAAGC
rnacentral:misc_RNA from 1 species